rnacentral:tRNA from 1 species
GCCGGCGUGGCGGAAUUGGCAUACGCAGCACCCUGUCACGGUGUGGAGCGAAAGCUCGUGGGGGUUCGAAUCCCCUCGCCGGCA